rnacentral:ncRNA from 1 species
GUUUCAGGGCGGGGUGCGAUUCCCCACUGGCGGUACAGCCCGCGACCACUCCCAAAGAGUGCUGACCCGGUGUGACUCCGGGGCCAACGGUAUAGUCCGGAUGCAAGAAA